rnacentral:lncRNA from 1 species
GGGAAGGGGCAGGACAGGUGAAGUUUACCACAGGAGCCAAGGCCUUGAACCCACCAGCAAGGGUUCUUGCUGGAACUCGCAGUAUCUCAUCAUGGUUAGAUGGUGAGAUCUCGCCUGAGGAGAGUGGGGUGGCAGCAGGAGACAGCUCACAAAAGGAACUCCACAAUGUUUGUUUCUGAUGCUCCUGGGGCUGUUGUCAGCAUGGAUAAGAAAUCCAGAAGACCUCAGAAGAGAUGCCAAGGGAUGACUUUGAGCUCGUGUCUUUGCUGCGUAUCUAGACUCUCUUGGAGAACUAGCAGUUAUUCCUGA